UCCUAAGGGAAACAAGCAUGAGAAAAAGUAACUAUGAUUUGUUGUACUAGGUUUUGAUUACUAAAUAAUGUAUGUAAAAUUAUGUAUAUCAAACCUAGACGAAAAAAUACUGAACCCAAAAAAUUCAGUGACUGACAGAGCUGUAUGGCAUUUCGCCACGACGUCAGUUGUGAGUCUCUUCUAAUUGUGUGUCUCUUCUAAGAGAAACUAUCAGAGUCUGAACUCGAUUAAAAUCGAACUGUACACUAGCUAGAUUACUGUACACUACGAUCUACCAGUCUACCUCCAAACUAAGCAUGCAUUCGGCCGAUACAGGUGAGAGGUUUCAAUUGUUAUUACCCAAGGCGCGUGGGCGGCCACGGAUAUAAUAGUCCAUUGGUUUGUUUGUUUGUUUGUUUGUUAGAUCUGAGUCUACUCACCUGGAUGCCACAGCACUGGGUUUACAGCAUGGGUAGCCUCCAACGGCAUGCAGCUUCGAUGUCAAAGCUUUGUUGUCAGAUAAAAGCAAGCAAAAGCUAAGAACUUGAACUUUCACGUUGGCCUCUAGCAUACAUGCGUCCUUUAUUCGAGGUAUGUAUUUACAGCUGAAGUGAUCAUAUACCAGGCACAAUGAAAAAGGGUCACUAGAGUAGAAAACUACAAUUAUGAGCAUGCCUCUAGAGUCCAUAUUACUUGCUACUAAGCCAGCUCCAUGCUUCAUAUCAUACACGUAUACAACUGCAUUCAUUUAAACAGCCGAGGAUUAGCACUUCAGUGCUCUAGUGUUUCUAGGCAGUAAGAAUGCUAGAACUAAACUAUAGAGAUGGAAAAUAAACUAGAGCACUACAAAGUGCAAACCCUCGGCUAGUGACAUGAUUAUGAAGAAACCAGAGGAGUGAUAUAAUGCAAUACAGUGCAUGUAAUUUAUGUACAGAGCUGUCUAAUACAGAGCUGUCUAGCACAGCAACUCAGGAGCAAUAAAACUAAACCAGACUGGUUUUGAGAACAGAGUUUUUAGUCCAUGGUACAUGAGAUGUGCACUGUGGACUAGGAUCACAGUAAUGAAGCCUGGAGUCUUAGAGAAGCAUGGCUCCUGGAGUCCUGGUGCUAGGAUCUAGAGUCAGCAAACAAGACAACAAACCACAUGCAAUUCUAGCUUUCUACUUGUGACCCUUUUCUAGUCGAGCGCCGCCGCCCUCCUUGAAGGAGGUCGGGAAUCAAGCCUAUCCAGUUUUGUUCUGGCCUGUUACGCAAUAGUAUCAUGAAAUCAUUCAUUCUAUGUGGGUGCUAACCAAUAGCAAUGAAUAUCAUUUAUUAAAGUGGGUGGCCUCGCCUCUCAGUCAAUCCAACGUGUGCAAAAUUCACACGUGGUACAGUUGAGUGGGUGUGAUCAAUCCCCUUGAGAUACUGCAAUCUGAUUGGAGCUAUUGGAUUUCCAACAACAGAACAAAACUGUGGAUAGGCUUGAUUCCCGACCUCCUUCCGGGCAACGGUAGAGGCAGCGCCCGACUAACCCUUUUCCAUUAUUCCUGGCACAGGAUUACUGCAGCUACAAGUAAGUGCCUCAAAUAAGGCCACAGUGUAGCUAGCUCAACGUGCAAGUUUAAACUUCUUAGCUUUUGCUCGCUAUUUGACAAAGAGGCUUUAACACCAACUUUUGUGUGAAAGCUAUCCAUGCUGUAAACGCAGUGCUAUAAUAUGGCAUCCCGGUAAGCACACUCACUCAUUACAAACAAACAAACAAACCAACCAACUACUAUACCUGUGGCCGCCCACGCGCCUCGGGUAAAAAAUGGUAUGAGUGUCAUAAUUAUUCUCAGUUAUGAUUCUCAGUAGACAAAAUUAAUUAUGUACAGUACAGCUACUAGUGAUUCACGGUUUACAGUAUUCAUACCCUCAAAAUAUUUUAUCUGUCACACCCAUUCUUGUGACCUUUUACCAAUAAACGUUGGAUAAAGCCAACCCACAAUUGAGAGGCUACCAUGGAGGAAACAAGAGCUCCACCGUCAUAUUCUGAUCUCACGCACGACAGCAAUGACACUGCUACCAUAUUAGAGGACCAAGUUAUUGUUACUUUGGAGGAGGUGGAUCAGGCAAUCGCUAGGAAUACUCCCCAGGCUGACUUCUCCCGAAAUGACAUGAAAACUAUGAAGAGGCUAAUAGAAGCUGUGUUAAGGAGAAAUGUGCGUGAGCAAAGAGUACUACCCACUGAACUACAAAAGGAGAUCACCAUUGCACAUGUUAUCACCAACUUUAACAAAACUAAAGCAGAUGUACAAGCAGCUGCCUCUCAGCCAUCAAACGUGUCUUUCAAUGCAAGUGCUACUGGUGAAGUACAUAUUCUGAACACAACUCCUGCUUGUAAGCCACACCCGAAGAGAGAACAAAUAGGAGUUUGGACAACCAUUAGCUCCGAUGAAAGUCACUCAAAUCAAAUUUUAGCUUAUGCUGAUCAAGUGCCGAAUGCAAUUGUCUGUAUGACUAUUUGGCUACUCAUAACUUUCUUUGUAGGAAGCCCUGUUACCCUGUUUUGGACAGUGCCGGCUCUAUAUUCUAUAUUCCAGACGAGAAAGAAUGUUAACGAAGGUAACAUAACGCAAGCUAAGAGGUCCUUCAAGAAGUAUCUGUGCCUUGGAGUGAUUUUUAACCUAAUUUGGACUGUAUUUUUUGUUGUUGUUGUGUUUGUAGUUGGUAUUGUACUUGCUGUAGUAUUUACUUCUCCUCAAAGAGUGUAGUACUUAUACUAUUUACCAUGGACUGCAAUAAAAUUAAUGUGUUUGUAAACACACGUAUGCAUGUGUGCGUGUGUGUGUGUGCAUGUGUCUCUCUCAUCUGUGUUCUAUAUCCAUAAUCUACGGGGUGUCUGCUUGUCUGUAAUUUCAGCAAUAACUACAUACUCAACGAUUGAAA